rnacentral:lncRNA from 1 species
AUGCCCGCUUUUGACUUUUUGGAUAAGGUGGAGCAGUUUGUGAGGCGAGGAACGCAUCCUGUAGAUGCAUCAAAAAGCUCCAAGAAAGUUACCAGAGCUGCCAGCAAACUAUUUAUCUAUAAAGGUAUUUUAGAGCUGCGCUCGCGGAUGUUAACGGAGAUGCUUCCUAUACAUUAGAGAACUCUUUCUCUCGGAGCAGAGACGUUAAUGCUUUAAUCCUCAAUGUACUGAAACUUUCCUCCUCUGUCCAGCACACACAAUAAGAAAUAUCUGACUGUAGUUCCUCCCUCCGUCCUCCAGAUGGCAGUCUGUGGCGUUCUUACCGAGGCCGCCUCCUCCGCGUUGUCAGGAGCGACAAGGAGGUGAGGGAGAUCAUGGUCCGUUACCAUGACAACAACAACCACGCCGGCCGGGUCCGGGUAAUAAGGGAGAUAAUGGUGAGUUUAGAGAAUAUAAUUUGAUCAAAAGUUAAGACAAUGUGAUCAAAUAUCCCUCCUCUGUCCAUGCAGUUGAUGUAUUACUGGGUUGGAGUGACGGAGGCGGUGAAGAACUGGAUCAAAGCGUGUGCGGUUUGUCAGCGACGAUGUCCCGCAGAGCCGCCUGAACCCCCCGUACACUUCUGCCUGGCCUACGGCUGCGAUGCCUCCAGCUACGUUCACCCUGAGCUCAGCUUCCACAGGUUUCCGAAGGAGGCAGAGCGUCGGCGAAGCUGGCUGGCGGUGGCUCAGAGGGACGAAGGCUCGCUGCGCACAAACUCCUGCCUCUGCUCCAGACACUUUGAGCCGGCCUGCUUCACGCUGAGCGAGGAGGGUCAGCUGACUCUAGCACCAGACGCCGUACCCACCAUCACCCCUGUGCAGGAGGACGAGGCUCCCGUCCCUUCAGACGAGGACUUCCUUCAUUCCAACGCCCUGGAAGACCUCUUCUCCACCGCUGCCGCUGCAGGACCCUCGGGCCCCUCAGGACCCCCCGUGGAGCUGCAGGAGCACCAGUACUGCCUCCCAGCUCCUGAUCCAGACUCUAGAGGCGUCAAGACUGUGACGGAGGACAAGAGGAGGAAGACCGUCAUCGAGCCGAGCUUCACGGCUUACAACCAGAUCGCCAGGUAG